UACGUAGGGGGCUAGCGUUGUCCGGAAUCAUUGGGCGUAAAGAGCGUGUAGGCGGUCCGGUAAGUCCGUUGUGAAAGUCAAGGGCUCAACCCUUGAAUGCCGGCGGAUACUGUCGGGCUAGAGUCCGGAAGAGGCGAGUGGAAUUCCUGGUGUAGCGGUGAAAUGCGCAGAUAUCAGGAAGAACACCCGUGGCGAAGGCGGCGUCUCUGGGACGGUACUGACGCUGAGGCGCGGAAAGCGUGGGAGCGAACAGG
rnacentral:rRNA from 1 species